rnacentral:lncRNA from 1 species
CGGUUGCGGGAGUUUGCGGAAGCGGGCGGUUGCGGCUUUAAGCGUUAUCAAGCGUUUUGAACGACUGGUUUAGCGUUUGAAAAUGGGAGCGUUUGCGGGAGUUUUAUGACUGGUAAACCAGCGGGUGCGAUAGCAGUUAAAUAAAAGAAUGAACAAAAUAAAUAAAAAAAGAAAUAAAAACACCAAUAUAUUAUUAUGAUAAUAUUAGAAAAAUUUGAACAUGCUUAAUAAUUAAAACCAUAGAUAAAGU